rnacentral:rRNA from 1 species
GACGAACGCUGGCGGCGUGCCUAAUACAUGCAAGUUGAGCGAUGAAGAUUGGUGCUUGCACCAAUUUGAAGAGCAGCGAACGGGUGAGUAACGCGUGGGGAAUCUGCCUUUGAGCGGGGGGCAACAUUUGGAAACGAAUGCUAAUACCGCAUAACAACUUUAAACAUAAGUUUUAAGUUUGAAAGAUGCAAUUGCAUCACUCAAAGAUGAUCCCGCGUUGUAUUAGCUAGUUGGUGAGGUAAAGGCUCACCAAGGCGAUGAUACAUAGCCGACCUGAGAGGGUGAUCGGCCACAUUGGGACUGAGACACGGCCCAAACUCCUACGGGAGGCAGCAGUAGGGAAUCUUCGGCAAUGGACGAAAGUCUGGCCGAGCAACGCCGCGUGAGUGAAGAAGGUUUUCGGAUCGUAAAACUCUGUUGGUAGAGAAGAACGUUGGUGAGAGUGGAAAGCUCAUCAAGUGACGGUAACUACCCAGAAAGGGACGGCUAACUACGUG